rnacentral:rRNA from 1 species
UACGGGGGGGGCAAGCGUUGUUCGGAAUUACUGGGCGUAAAGGGCUCGUAGGCGGCCAACUAAGUCCGACGUGAAAUCCCCAGGCUUAACCGGGGAACUGCGUCUGAUACUGGAUGGCUUGAGUUUGGGAGAGGGAUGCGGAAUUCCAGGUGUAGCGGUGAAAUGCGUAGAUAUCUGGAGGAACACCGGUGGCGAAGGCGGCAUCCUGGACCAACACUGACACUGAGGAGCGAAAGCCAGGGGAGCAAACGGG